CUUUCUCUUCUUCUAGUCAGAAGACUAACCAAACCUUCCAUACUACGUCUUUUGCCUUGAUAGGGGUGUUCCUUGAACCUCACAGCUUUAGCACAGCACUUUCUGUUGAGAUUCCCGCCAACGGGGAAGUAUUAGUGCCAGUCCUCUGCCUCUUUUUGUUUCUGUUGUCUGGAUUUCAUUUAGUGGCCCACGAACAGAGGCAGGAUAGCCAAGCCCUGCAGGUGGAGGCAGGGACCAGGCUCAGGAGCAAGGGCAGAGUGGUUUCUUUGUUUCUAAAGGGAAUGGCAGUGUUUUCUGCAGGUGGAUUUGCCACAGCCUUUCUUACAGGACUGAGACUGGGAUGAGAAGUGCCCUGAAGGGGGUGUGCUUGCAAGUAGGCAAAAGAGAAAUGCAAAUCAAGGUAACUGUGUUGGAGACCCUGCCUGGGAGCAGAGUGACGUGAGAGCCCCACCACCUUCUGCUUAGGAGCUGUGUAGAGUCCCCAUCCCAAAUGGCGUGUUUCCUUAGCAAAACGGUUGUUCUUCUGGAAAGCCCCAGCUCCUCGCGUUACAUUACUACGUGAAGAAUCCCAGGCUGAAUUAUUGAGAACUAGUUUUUUGUUAGUGGUCAAGUAAAACACGGCAACAGAGGCAGCGGGGGGUAACCUCAGGAAAAAGAGGGGACAAAAACAUCUCCUGUGUCAAGGCCUGACUUGAUGAGAAAGGAAGAGCUGUGGAAGUGUGCGUGGUUGGAGGUGUCCAUCUCCUAGACUGCACCCAGAGGAGGAGAAUGAUUCUGGCUCUGCAGUCUCGGAACUCCAGUCAGUACACACAGGGAAGGAUUUCUGGGCUGAGAUGAAUUUAUAUCUCUGCAGCUUCUAAUCUUUUGCAUGUGGCGUUCUCAUGCAGUGAAGCUUUUGAGCAUGGUUUAUCGUCACCGUAGCUGACCUGCAUGGGAAAAGAUGCCAUUAG
rnacentral:lncRNA from 1 species